GACAGAGGGGGCAAGCGUUGCUCGGAAUUACUGGGCGUAUAGGGCGCGUAGGCGGGAUGGCAAGUCGGUCGUGAAAGCCUUCGGCUCAACCGAAGAACGUCGGCCGAUACUGCCGUUCUUGAGGGAUGCAGAGGAGACUGGAAUUCCCGGUGUAGCGGUGAAAUGCGUAGAGAUCCGGAGGAACCCCUGAGGCGAAGGCGGCGUCCUGGCGCACUUCUGACGUUCAGACACGACAGCAUGGGGAGCGAACGGG
rnacentral:rRNA from 1 species